GAUGAACGCUAGCUACAGGCUUAACACAUGCAAGUCGAGGGGUAACGAGAGGAAAGCUUGCUUUCCUUGUCGACGACCGGCGCACGGGUGAGUAACGCGUAUCCAACCUGCCCCCAACUAGGGAAUAACCUUGCGAAAGUAAGACUAAUACCCUAUAAUUUCCUCAGAUGUCAUCUGACGAGGAAUAAAGAUUUAUCGGUUGUGGAUGGGGAUGCGUCUGAUUAGCUUGUUGGCGGGGUAACGGCCCACCAAGGCAACGAUCGGUAGGGGUUCUGAGAGGAAGGUCCCCCACAUUGGAACUGAGACACGGUCCAAACGCCUACGGGAGGCAGCAGUGGGGAAUAUUGGUCAAUGGGCGGAAGCCUGAACCAGCCAAGUAGCGUGCAGGAUGACGGCCCUAUGGGUUGUAAACUGCUUUUAUACAGGAAUAAAGUUAGCCACGUGUGGUUAUUUGUAGGUACUGUGUGAAUAAGGACCGGCUAAUUCCGUGCCAGCAGCCGCCGUAA
rnacentral:rRNA from 1 species